rnacentral:rRNA from 1 species
UGCCAGCCGCCGCGGUAAUACGAAGGGGGCGAGCGUUAUUCGGAAUUAUUGGGCGUAAAGGGCUCGCAGGCUGCUUGAACAGUUAGACGUGAAAUCCCCGGGCUCAACCUGGGAACUGCGUUUAAUACUAGCAAGCUAGAGAAAUAGAGAGGAAAGUGGAACUCCCAGUGGAGAGGUUAAAUUCUUAGAGAUUAGAAGGAAUAUCUAAAGCGAAGGCAAUUUUCUGGUUUGAACCUGACACUGAGGUGCGAAAGCGUGGGGAGCAAACAGGAUUAGAUA